rnacentral:lncRNA from 1 species
GGAAUAUACAUGUGAGGGGGGAGGAGAGGGGAAGGCAGGGGAGGGUUAGGGUAGGGGAGCUCAGUGCACCGACGGUCCUCAGGCAGUCUAGGCCUAUGGCAGCAUAACUAAGGGAUGGUUCAGGGUUACCUAAUUUUUUGUGAAAGUUUCAGUGGGUCAUACAUCUGCAGGUUUUGUGUUGGAGAGUGGUCCCAGUUUCAGGAAGUUGAAGUCAGGACAGGAGUGUUCCCUGGUGGAACACAGCAGCAACAUCAGUUGGACAUUGAAGCAGCACUGGCUGGAAACACACACAGCCACAGACUUAAAAGGCAUUGUGCAAUUACUCAAAGACGAAGUCAUUUUAAUGUGACAACAGGUUACCCCCGAUGUACUACAUGAUUUACUUGAGGGUAUUGUACCUGUAGAAUUGGCACUGUGUUUAGAAAUCCUUAUAAAGAAAAAGAAAAUUCUCUUGAAGAGCUCAAUAGUGUCAUCAAACAUUUCCCAUAUAAGUGGAAAGACGGGACAAAUUGUCCCUGAGGUAUACCGCCACCGUUUGCCUCCUGUAAAACCAUUAGUGGCAACACACAUGAAAAUUGGUGCUUGUUGAGGCUGCUUCCACUUAUGAUUGGCACUAAAGUACCAGGAGAGGAACAGGCAUAGCAGUUGACGCUCAAAGAUGUUGAGUUGGUUAUGUCACCUACCCACACAGAUGAAAGCAUUGGUCACUUAGACUGAUUGCUGAGCAUAGACACAGAUUUAGCAGUGUUUUUCCAGAAUCUUUUGUCAGUUCAGGUUAAAGAAGAGUUCCACUGGAGCAGAGCUUCAUGUACAAACUGGACCAGUACACACCAAAACUUAUUGCCCUGAUGAAGACCAAGGGAGGUGUCGUGUGGACCAAGCUGAAGCCAUUCUUGGACAGGUUGAGUCAGAACCAAAGUAUUGAGAUGAGACAUGAAGCAGUUAUCCGCAGCCUCAUACUGUACCUUGGUGAGGAAGAAGAGGAACUUUUUGAAGAUUGCCUGGUAAAGUUUUUAGAAUUAUUUUUAUUUAUUUACAUUUUUUUAACGAUGCUGUUUAAAAUUUUAAUGAGUUAUCUAAAGUGCAAGUUG